rnacentral:lncRNA from 1 species
UACGAGGAACUAUGGGAGAGAGGCGGGGACAGAAAGUUAUUUCGGUUAGCUAAAGCAAGGGAAAGGAAGACACGUGAUCUUGACCAAGUUAGGUGCAUCAAGGGCGAGGAUGGUCGAGUUCUGAUGGGGGAGUCUCAAGUCAAGCAGAGGUGGUAGGCGUACUGUCGAGAUUUACUUAACGAGGAGGGGGGUCGUAACAUAGAGCUAGGGGAGUUGGGGCAUUCAGAGCAACAUAGAGAUCUUGGGUACUGCAGGUGCAUAAGGGCGGAUGAGUUCAUGGGGGCUUUGCGUAGGAUGAGUAGGGGUCGAGCGACCGGGCCUGACGAGAUCCUGGUGGAGUUCUGGAAGUGCAUGGGUAGGUCAGGAGGGGCGAGGAUGGCAGAGUUCUGAUGAGGGAGUCUCAAGUCAAGCAGAGGUGUCAGGCAUACUUUCGAGACUUACUUAACGAGGAGGGGGAUCGUAAAAUAGAGCUAGGGGAGUUGGGGCAUUCAGAGCAACAUAGAGACUUUGGGUACUGCAGGCACAUUAGGGCGGAGGAGGUCAUGUGGGCUUUGCGUAGGAUGAGUAGGGGUCGAGCGACCGGGCCUGACGAGAUCCCGGUGGAGUUCUGGAAG